rnacentral:lncRNA from 1 species
UUUCUUCCUUAUUCCAAGGCUGUAUCGUUUGGGGGAAGUUACCUAACCUCUUUAAACCUCAGUUUCUUUGUACAAAGGGGGCAAUAACACCAAUGCCAAAGUACUGUUGGAGAGUUGCAUAGUUAAUUUAAAAUGCUUAGGGUCCAACAAUAAAUAAACCUUGUAGGGAAGCAGUGGGAAGAAUAUAAGCUUUAUAAUUAGACGGACCUGGGUUCGAAUCCUGACCCCGCCAAUUCUUAGCAAUGUGAUCUUAGGCGUACCCUCCAAAUGAAGGACAAGUUGCUUUACUUGUGCUACAUACUGCUAAACAAAAAAACAAAAAGAGACAUCAUCUGGGUGUUGGUGAUUGAUAACUUUACAAGUUAGUCCACAAAAAUAUCAAGACAGGACUGGGCAGAACUAGAAGUGGGCAUCAACAGAGACACCGGACUUGGAGCUGGAUGCAGUGACUGUUAAAACCAGAAGUUGUCUUUUUGGGCGGCGGUGGAAAAUUAGCCCUGAGCUAACAUCCAUGCCCAUCUUCCUCUACUUUAUAUGUGGGACACCUGCCACAGCAUGGAGUGCCAAGCGGUGCCAUGUCCACAUCCGGG